rnacentral:lncRNA from 1 species
CAGAAAUUCUAUUGCAUUAACAUAAGUCUAACGACAUGGCCUGCCUCAAUAAAAGUGUGAUAAAGCCAUGAUGGGAUAAAAGAACUUAAGUUAAAAGCUCUGCCUUCCCCUAUUUACUUUUUUUUACACAUGGGAUCAGUUUUCACAUAGGAAGAUAGCUACAGAGCUUAAUUUCUUUGGUGGUGGAAAUAGUAUUGAAACAUCACAGUUACAGCUACAAGACACUGACCUGCAGGGAAAUGAGGAAAGCUGCACAUCUGGUAGGAAAAUCAGAGGAGUCAUCACAGAGAAAAUCCUGAGCUGUCCGGCUAGUCCUGG